GAUCCUGGCUCAUGAUGAACGCUAGCUACAGGCCUAACACAUGCAAGUCGAGGGGAAACGGCAGCUUAGCUUGCUAAGCUGGACGUCGACCGGCGCACGGGUGAGUAACGCGUAUCCAACCUGCCCCACGGUGAGGGAUAACCCGCGGAAACGCGGCCUAAUACCUCAUGGUCUCCGAGUUUGCCAUCAACCUUGGAGUAAAGAUUCAUUGCCGUGGGAUGGGGAUGCGUCUGAUUAGCUUGUUGGCGGGGCAACGGCCCACCAAGGCAACGAUCAGUAGGGGUUCUGAGAGGAAAGCCCCCCACAUUGGAACUGAGACACGGUCCAAACUCCUACGGGAGGCAGCAGUGAGGAAUAUUGGUCAAUGGGCGAGAGCCUGAACCAGCCAAGUAGCGUGCAGGAAGACGGCCCUAUGGGUUGUAAACUGCUUUUAUGCGGGGAUAAAGCGGGCGACGUGUCGCCCUUUGCAGGUACCGCAUGAAUAAGGACCGGCUAAUUCCGUGCCAGCAGCCGCGGUAAUACGGAAGGUCCGGGCGUUAUCCGGAUUUAUUGGGUUUAAAGGGAGCGCAGGCCGGGUAUUAAGCGUGUUGUGAAAUGUAGGCGCCCAACGUCUGCACCGCAGCGCGAACUGGUGCCCUUGAGUACGCACGACGUUGGCGGAAUUCGCCGUGUAGCGGUGAAAUGCUUAGAUAUGGCGAAGAACUCCGAUUGCGAAGGCAGCUGACGGGAGCGCUACUGACGCUCAUGCUCGAAAGCGCGGGUAUCGAACAGGAUUAGAUACCCUGGUAGUCCGCGCGGUAAACGAUGGAUGCCCGCUAUUUGCGCAUUAGCGCAAGUGGCCAAGUGAAAACGUUAAGCAUCCCACCUGGGGAGUACGCCGGCAACGGUGCAACUCAAAGGAAUUGACGG
rnacentral:rRNA from 1 species